AGCGAACGCUGGCGGCAGGCCUAACACAUGCAAGUCGAACGAACCUUUCGGGGUUAGUGGCGGACGGGUGCGUAACACGUGGGAACGUGCCUUUAGGUUCGGAAUAACUCAGGGAAACUUGUGCUAAUACCGAAUGUUCCCUUCGGGGGAAAGAUUAAUCGCCUUUAGAGCGGCCCGCGUCUGAUUAGCUAGUUGGUUGAGGUAAUGGCUCACCAAGGCGACGAUCAGUAGCUGGUCUGAGAGGAUGAUCAGCCACAUUGGGACUGAGACACGGCCCAAACUCCUACGGGAGGCAGCAGUGGGGAAUCUUGCGCAAUGGGCGAAAGCCUGACGCAGCCAUGCCGCGUGAAUGAUGAAGGUCUUAGGAUUGUAAAAUUCUUUCACCGGGGACGAUAAUGACGGUACCCGGAGAAGAAGCCCCGGCUAACUUCGUG
rnacentral:rRNA from 1 species